rnacentral:rRNA from 1 species
UACGUAGGGGGCAAGCGUUGUCCGGAUUUACUGGGCGUAAAGCGCGCGUAGGCGGAAGGGCAAGCGUGGCCUGAAAGCCCCGGCCUCAACCGGGGAGGGUGGCUGCGAACUGGCCUUCUUGAGGGCGACAGAGGAGCGCGGAAUUCCUGGAUGUAGCGGUGAAAUGCGUAGAGAUCAGGAGGAACACCCGUGGCGAAGGCGGCGCUCUGGGUCGGCUCUGACGCUGAGGUGCGAAAGCGUGGGGAGCGAACGGG